rnacentral:lncRNA from 1 species
UUCGUUUGCCACAUGGACGCCCCCAAGAUCAGGAAUUGUGGAUGAUUCAGCCCCGAUUGUAUCCCGAGCACCAAGCCCAGAGUCAGGAGUGGAGGAGCUACUCUGCACCGUUUCUUAGAUAAUUCGCGGUACUUAUAGCAUAGAGCAGUGGAGAGGAGGAAAUAAAAUACCCUGAGCCAGGGAUGUGGGGGACGAGCCAGAACCCAGAGGUGCUCCCAGGGAGGAGAUGGUGCUGCCGGCAGCUUCACUGCAGCCACGUGCUCCUCCAGAUACUUGAACCCUCCCUCCGCCAGGCAGGUCCCACCCUUGUCCUCCCUGUGCAGUUUAGGGAGCAGACACCGGCAGAAGCUUAGUCACAGCCCAAAGCUCCCAUCCUAUGCAAACGCGUCUCCAUGAGGAAGAGCAAGGCUCCUGCAGGACGGAGAUCAGAUGGAUCAGCGAUCCCAGACAGAACCUUUUGCCUGAUAUGAGCACCCUUGGGAGAGACCUCUUCACACAAAAGUUCCUUGCAAGGAAAACACUCCUGCCUCACUUUCUUCAACCCAGCCAUGACCUUUCUUGGGACAGGGUCACACCAGGGUUACAGCAUCUGCCUCCCAGCCUCCCAGCUGGCCAGUCCUUCUGCAGUGGCUCAGCCGCAGACCCCUCCUGCACACCACAGCCAAAAACGAUUCUGCGAGGACUACAUCAUCCCGUGAAACUGACGCUUAAUGAUGCAGAACUCCACGUUUCCUGUCCUCAACUUGUCAUCAUUUUCCUUCCCAGAACCCCCAGCACCUCUGACACCGACCUGGAUCUCUACUCCAGAAACUCAAAACCCAUUUUUGCCACACCGUCACACUAG